CCCGGGAGCGGCGGACGGCUCAGGACAACGGUUGCACCCCCCGCGGCGGUCCCUGCUAGCCGGACACCGCUGGCAACCCGGCGCCAAGACGUGCGCGCAAGGGCGGGCGCCCGCGGGCGAGCAGCGUGACGCAG
rnacentral:rRNA from 1 species